UACGUAGGGUGCGAGCGUUGUCCGGAAUUAUUGGGCGUAAAGGGCUCGUAGGCGGCUUGUCGCGUCGGGAGUGAAAGCCCACUGCUUAACGGUGGGUCUGCUUCCGGUACGGGCGGGCUGGAGUAUGGCAGGGGAGACUGGAAUUCCUGGUGUAGCGGUGAAAUGCGCAGAUAUCAGGAGGAACACCAAUGGCGAAGGCAGCUCGCUGGGACGGUACUGACGCUGAGACGCGAAAGCGUGGGGAGCAAACAGG
rnacentral:rRNA from 1 species